rnacentral:tRNA from 1 species
GAUAGAAUGGCUGAUAAAAGCGGGAAAUUGUAAAUUUCUUUAUAGAUUUUGUAUCUUUCUAUUA